rnacentral:tRNA from 1 species
GGGGAUAUGGCUCAAUUGGUAGAGUGCUUGCCUUGCAUACACAUAGGCCCUGGGUUCAAUCCCUAGUACCACCA